rnacentral:tRNA from 1 species
UGGGGUGUAGCUCAGUAGUAGAGCACACAAUGUGAGGCCCUGGGUUCAAUUCCCAGCACCAAAA